rnacentral:lncRNA from 7 species
UUUCUCCCCUUUCACUGCCGGGAAGCAUCCGCGGGGCCGAGCUCCCGUCUCGAUGCCGUCCCACAGCGCAGCGGCUGCACGGAGCUGCCAGGCCCCACUCACCGUUCCUAUACAUCCAUAGGCACCCACAUAUCUAUGUCUGUGUAUAUGCACACGGGGAGCAGCGGUUCUGUUGGUUUGUCAAAGAGAAAAAGGGCCACGGGCAGUGGGAACAAAACCCAGCACGACUCGCGGUGGGAACUCCCAGUAUUUACUGCUCUCCCCACAUUUCUCCCGCUGUCACCGUGGCUUUUCGGGGGUUGCCCCGCACUGCCCGGCCGGGCCCUCAGCGAACCCCGCAGUUCCUCUCGUGAACUUUCCCCACGCAGCCUCGCGGGCCGCUCUCUCCCGUCCUCUUGGCGGCUGCGAGGAGGAAAUCUGGCAGGGGCUCCUUCCCAGCAGUCCCCGAUCUGCUCCAAGCGCACUCUUGGAGGCAGCCUCUCUCGGAGGGAGGGGUGCGCUACAUUCGCAGUCAAAUUACAUGGCUGGCCUCAGAGGCACUGGCUUCGGAUUUCCAAAGUAAUACUCAUCUUUGAGAAGCCGAGCCAAGAAGAAAAUACGAGGAAGGCCUCGGAUGCGGGAGACCUCGGGGGACUCGAAGCACGCAAUUGCUGGCAGUGGCGUCUCGGGAGGGAUGCGUAAUGUCCUCUUAGUCGCGCAGAGCUCCACCGGAUCUCUCCCUGCUGAUGCGCGCUCCCCAGCACCGAAACGCGCAGGGAUGUGCGCUGUGGAAGCCACACGGCAUGAAACAAAACACAGCUCCUUCAGCAAAACCAGCGUCGUCCGCGGAUUUUUCAGGCACCCGAGCCCCGGGGUGACAUUUUCUACCCGCAUGAUACAUGUCCAAAGCACACGUGGGAAAUUUUCCUUACACCGCGUGUGCGCUUCCUUCGGGUUUCUGCGCAGUUUACAUCGCGUUGGAUGCUUCCAUCCACCAACUGCAUUCACCCCUGGGCUCGUUCUGAAUUAAAGCUUCUUUUAUAGUCU